rnacentral:rRNA from 1 species
AACGAACGCUGGCGGCAUGCCUAAUACAUGCAAGUCGAACGAGAUCUUCGGAUCUAGUGGCGCCCGGGUUCGUAACGCGUGGGAAUCUUCCCUUGGGUUCGGAAUAACUUCUGGAAACGGAAACUAAUACCGGAUGAUGACUUAAGUCCAAAGAUUUAUCGCCCAAGGAUGAGCCCGAGUAGGAUUAGCUAGUUGUUUGGGUAAAGGCCCACCAAGGCGACGAUCCUUAGCUGGUCUGAGAGGAUGAUCAGCGACACUGGGACUGGGACACGGCCCAGACUCCUACGCGAGGCAGCAGUAGGGAAUAGUGGAAAAUGGGGGAAACCAUGAUCCAGCAAUGACGGGAGAGUGCUGAAGGCAUUAGGGUUGUAAAGUGUUUGUAACCGGGAUGAUAAUGACAGUACCGGGAGAAUAAGCUACGGCUAACUACGUG